rnacentral:rRNA from 1 species
CAGGAUUAGAUACCCUGGUAGUCCACGCCGUAAACGAUGUCGACUUGGAGGUUGUGCCCUUGAGGCGUGGCUUCCGGAGCUAACGCGUUAAGUCGACCGCCUGGGGAGUACGGCCGCAAGGUUAAAACUCAAAUGAAUUGACGGGGGCCCGCACAAGCGGUGGAGCAUGUGGUUUAAUUCGAUGCAACGCGAAGAACCCUACCUGGUCUUGACAUCCACGGAAGUUUUCAGAGAUGAGAAUGUGCCUUCGGGAACCGUGAGACAGGUGCUGCAUGGCUGUCGUCAGCUCGUGUUGUGAAAUGUUGGGUUAAGUCCCGCAACGAGCGCAACCCUUACCCUUUGUUGCCAGCGGUCCGGCCGGGAACUCAAAGGAGACUGCCAGUGAUAAACUGGAGGAAGGUGGGGAUGACGUCAAGUCAUCAUGGCCCUUACGACCAGGGCUACACACGUGCUACAAUGGCGCAUACAAAGAGAAGCGACCUCGCGAGAGCAAGCGGACCUCAUAAAGUGCGUCGUAGUCCGGAUUGGAGUCUGCAACUCGACUCCAUGAAGUCGGAAUCGCUAGUAAUCGUGGAUCAGAAUGCCACGGUGAAUACGUUCCCGGGCCUUGUACACACCGCCCGUCACACCAUGGGAGUGGGUUGCAAAAGAAGUAGGUAGCUUAACCUUCGGGAGGGCGCUUACCACUUUGUGAUUCAUGACUGGGGUGAAGUCGUAACAAGGUAACC